rnacentral:tRNA from 1 species
GCGGGUGUGUUGUAGUGGUUCGCAAGCGACCCCUCCAAGGUUGAAGUGCGGGUUCGAUUCCCGCCACCCGCUCCG